AUUUAUUUCAAUGAGUUAUGUGAUUAGAAAACAUGACUGAUAGAUUAUCCAACUAGAAAAUGUCACAGAUUUUUCUAGGUUUUACCAUGAAAAUAAAAUUUACAAGCUAGGGCUGAAAAACUAACAGACUAAAGUUCGAUGAUGCCAAAAACAUUGUUGGUCCACAACAGAGUUGUGGUCACUGGUGGAGAACUGUCAAGCAGAAAUUGUGGAGAACUUCUCUUGGAUUGAUAAGUUGUCCUUAUUAUUCAGAUGGGCUGACCUUUCGGAACGAUUUGAUCCUUAAUCCACAUGUAUAUUGGAACGAGCACGUAGUAACUUGCAGCCAUUAUGCCAAGCAGGAAUCGCAUGAGAAAUACAAAAGGGUUCACAGGCUUGCUCACAUCCUCAACCUUGGGACCGAGCUGCAAUGGUGAUUCCCCAGCAUAUGGCUUCACUCCAGUCACAGAGCAGCCCAUGAUCAACCCGUGUCGGCGGACACCACGAUACCAUUUUG
rnacentral:misc_RNA from 1 species